rnacentral:rRNA from 1 species
AUUGAACGCUGGCGGCAGGCUUAACACAUGCAAGUCGAGCGGGCGAAGUUGCUUCGGUAACUGAGCUAGCGGCGGACGGGUGAGUAAUGCUUAGGAAUCUGCCUAUUAGUGGGGGACAACAUUCCGAAAGGAAUGCUAAUACCGCAUACGCCCUACGGGGGAAAGCAGGGGAUCUUCGGACCUUGCGCCAAUAGAUGAGCCUAAGUCAGAUUAGCUAGUUGGUGGGGUAAAGGCCUACCAAGGCGACGAUCUGUAGCGGGUCUGAGAGGAUGAUCCGCCACACUGGGACUGAGACACGGCCCAGACUCCUACGGGAGGCAGCAGUGGGGAAUAUUGGACAAUGGGCGCAAGCCUGAUCCAGCCAUGCCGCGUGUGUGAAGAAGGCCUUUUGGUUGUAAAGCACUUUAAGCGAGGAGGAGGCUACUUGGAUUAAUACUCUAGGAUAGUGGACGUUACUCGCAGAAUAAGCACCGGCUAACUCUGUGCCAGCCGCCGCGGUAA